AAUUGCAAGUUGGAAAUUCACAAAAGAUUUGUAAACAAAGUCUCUGAUUGGAUUAAAAGGAAGAGGGAAGCCAAUCAAAUAGUCUGAGCAACUGGAUUGGUGCUUCCCUCUUUCUUAUAGUCCAAUCAGAGGCUUUGUUUACAAAUCUUUUGUGAAUUUCAACUUGCAAUUU